UUUAAAGUAUAAAUAUAUCCCAUGCAAUACUUGGAAUAUACUUAUACUAUAA
rnacentral:pre_miRNA from 1 species